UUUGUUUUAUUGUUUUCCCCGAAAAGUCCCAAAAUUUGGACAUGCGUGCUUUCCAUCGGACAACUUACACACUGCACAUCACAAAGUUUCCCUAGCAGUUUGUUUACAAAAUAUCCGUUUUUUUAAUCUUGAGCCAAAACACAUAAAAAAUCUUUUUCUUUGUAUUAAAAAGAGAAAAAAAAUUCUACAGAUGUGCUUUUCGUGGAGCACCGGUGACCAUUUGCCGUUUUUUUGCUGUUUAUUUACAACAUUGACCAUAUGCAUACAUACACACUCGACAAUACAAAGUUGAUUUUGUUCAAAAUGUCGCCCUGUUCAGCAUGAAACGCUGUCUGGUGAAAAUUUUGUCAUCAGAAACACGAAAAUAUAUUUUUUGUUUUUAUCCAAAACACACAGAAAAUAUCUUCUGAUUAAAAAAAAAAAUAAUACUAAUAAUUUGGCAGACAUUUUUUUUGAAUGAAAUAUCAGCUCCUUCACUUCCUGUAUGCCUUUAAGCACUGUCCAACGAAAACCAUGUAUCGCCUAAUGUUUGGAGUCUUUUAAGCGUUCUCUGAAACACAAAGAUAAAUUACUGGAUAAAAUACCCCAAAACGAGCCAAAAGUUCUUGCUGUAUGUCUGAGAAUGAAGAUUUUGCCCCUCCGCCCUCUCUGUUUAAAACACGCGAGCCAUCAGUAUUGGGUCCAAAUAUUUCCCUGUCAGAUGAAGAGGAAGAGAUCCUCGGGCCUCCCGGGUGUGAAGUUGUUUUUCCCCACCAAAGAUUUGCGAGGGGCUGUCGUGUCCAACAACUCCUGUGUGAGAAUUUUAUGGAAAUAUUUUGUCUGUAUGCUCACAUAUAAUAAAAUACCCUGUUGAUACAGCAGUCAAGAUGAAAAGCGACAUAUUUCCAGUUUCACAUUAAGCUAAGAGUACUCCAGUGAUUUCCUUGCUGAUAUUUGGAUUAAUGGCAGGGGCCUGCUCCGAAAACCGCAAAGCCGUUAACGACUAUUUAAAGAAGUCAACUUUGAACUUGGUUGUCUGGUGUCGAUCGGACGACGAGAAUGUCGAGAGCCUCCGACGUCUUUGUAGUCCGUGUUUGUCCAAAGGCCCGGCGGAGUCGUCGGCUUCCCCGCGUACCCACAUCACUGACUUUUAUGGACCAUUUAGAAUUGAUGUGGCCGUUUGCUCUCGGCGAAGACAACCAUCUGAACAAACAAGAGGACGCCGUAACUCAAUUGCGUGAAUAUGGACUCCCUGCUCCUCCUCGGAUUCCCCGUCCCCGCAGGACCUCUUUUGGAAUAACUCAGACCCCGACGGACGGCCGACGGUUCACAUUUUCCACGAGGCAAGAACACCGAGACAGACCGUCGAAAUAUCCUGUCAAAUGAUCAACUCUCUCUCUCUCUCUGUAGAUUCUCAGUCAUCCAGGUCAUGCUAAUCCGCAAAGGUUGAAUCAAGGCAACUGGACUGUUCCUGUUUGUUGAAGACGGUUCACCUUUAAUCCAAAAGAAGAACUGAAGAAGCUUUUUGGGUAAAAGGGGAACCGGCUUCAACAAAACACAACAGUCCAGCUGCUUUGAUUCAACCUUCACGGAGAAUCAACUCAGUCGUAGUACAGAAGUGAGAAACCAAAAGCUAGUUAGCCAUCAAACAAGCCCAUCCAACCACCGACUGACCAGCCGACCGAACACUGACAGGAACAACGCAGCCGAAGGCCUGAGAUGGCCGAUAAACAAAAAGCAACCAACCGACCAAUCAACCGAAUAGCCAACCGAUGUAUCAACUAACCAAUCUACCAAAGCCCAAUCAACCUAAAACGCCUGUCGACCAGAACACGCGCAAACCACUAACUAACCAAUUCACACUAGCAACAAACCUACCAAACGGUUAACCAACUAAUCGGCAACAAAUCAACUAAUGCGCAAUCAUCCAAAAUUGGCCAUCAAGCAAUCUAUCAACGGACCUCUCAACCAAAACGUUAAAUGAAAGGCAGCCGACCAAUCAAUUUACAUCAGCAUCAAAAUCACUCAACAACUAAUUGAAAAGCAACCAACCAACUAAUCAACCAACUCGCCAACCAAUGUGUCAGCAACCCACCAGUUACAUCAGCAUCAAACCAACUAAACAAAUCAAGCAUCAACCAAUCCUCCAUAAAUGACUCAUCCUACCAACCAAUCAAUCACGAGCAACAAACCUACCAAACAGCUAACCAACAAUCUAUCAACUAACCAGCAAAUCAAAGUAGCAAGCAAGCAAUCCUAAAAUGAGCGUUAAACAAAAGGCACACCACCAACCGGUCGACCAAUCGACCAACCGGCGACAUCAACGACCAACCAACCAGUCGACCAAGCCGCCGCCCACAGUAACUUGUCAACCAAACUGAGCAAAACCACGUGCAACCCAACAAGCACCGAAACCUGCGAUUGCUGCCCGUCGUACUUGCUGCGGCGCGUGCAGAAGCUCGCUCGCGUCCUUCCCGAGACAAACGGGAUUAAAAUGGCCAAUCUGGAGCCGGGUCCAGUCCGCCUCAACAGCCCGGGGAAAGGGGGCGGACCCUUCCGUGCCGUGUUCACGCAGCCGUGUCACAUACCAUUUCGUCACGGCAAGCGCAAGCGUGUGUGUGUGUGUGUGUGUGUGUGUGUUGGGGGAAGAUGGCUGAGACGUGCUCACAUCUUAAUUGCAAUCGCUGCCCUUGAAAAAUGGGCCGUUUUGGUCCGGAUUUACACUGCAGAUCCCACAACAAGGGAAAUAAAAGCAAACAAUGUAGAGCAUCUGGUUGCACAAGUGUGCACACCCUCGUAACUGCAGACGUGGCUGAGUUCAGAAUGAACCCCAAAUAAAGUUCAGAUGCUAUACUAGUCUUUUCCAGACAUUUUUGGUGUGGCAUCUUACUUACAGCACAAGCCGAGAACUUUUAAUGUCUCAGACGGAGACUCGGUCAUAAGAAGGCUACAAGAGUGAGUAGACCCACAAAGAAGUAUCGGGACGUCAUGUCCAAAAAGACCCAAGAAAUGUUGUUGGUCCUGGGGAAAAUGUACUUUCGAUUGCAACCCUGCAAAGAAACGUCAGCCCCGGAAGACGGUUUGACCCGGCAACACGAAAUUGGUCGAACCCACCCAAAAAGUCUCAAGAAGCACAGAAAGCUGAACAUUUUGGUUCAAAGCUGAUAGGUUGGGCUCAUUUUAGCCAUUUAGGUUUGUCCCACCAAUUUAAUUCACUUUCAGAAGAGGCCUGUUUCGCAUCCGAUGAGAUCCGAUUCCAGACAUCAUUUUUUUGGGGCCCAUUUACAUCUCCCGUCCUCAAAAACUCACCCUUUUUUUCCCCUAUCCUGUUGAGAAUGUAUUCACUUGCACCCUCCUUCCCCUGGAAUUUUGGAAAAAACAAAUAAGUCCCCAGAGAUGUUUUUACUUAACACCAUGAAAUUUGGUAGACAUGUCUGUCACAAGCAGACCGCAAAAAAAAAAAAAAAAAAAGUCUCAAGAAGCUGUGCUAAAAAAGACAACAGGAAGUCUGCCAUGUUGGUUUGAAGAGGCCAUCUGUUGUUUUUCCUCUUUUAAAUGCCAAAUGAACCAGAAGCCCAGGGGGGAUCAAUACCACGCACGCACGCACGCACACACACACACACUUGUCCAGUUGAUAAAUAUUUGGAGUUUUCUAAUUGAAAUUGAAUGUGCGCUGCUUCAGUUCUGGGGGGUCUUGAAACACAUAUGGACACAUUGUGUGCCUGUCUGAUACACACACACACACACAGUUACACUUUAGGACAAAAGGAACCACUAUGAUGUGUGUGCGUGUGUUGCAAUUCCGUGUGUUGCGAUUGUAUGUGUGUGUGUGAGUUGUCAUUAUAUGUGUGCCACUAGUAAACUGUGUGUGUAGUGAUUGUUGGCACUUACACACACACACGAUGCAUACACAAAAGCAUGUUUGCAUGUGCACUCGGCGUGAACAAUUAAUGAACACGCACGCACGUGUUGUGCAGACAGUUGUUUCCAUUCUUCUCUAUUUUUUUUUUUUUUUUUGUAUCAUUAAGCAAGUGCAGCAUGUGUAGCGCACACGGAGGUUGUUGGCAUGUAGCGCGUUGCUGGCGUGUCGCAGCUCACGGAGGGCAUGUUGCGUGUUUAAGUGGCCGCAUGGCACUCUGGCGUCGCCCGAGAACUUCCGCAUUGAAGAGGAAGACGAAGGGGGGGGAGCCUUUGUAACGCUUUGAACGUCUAUCACGGGGAUUUGGUUCCAGACGCGCGCGCCACCGACGGUGAAAAUCCACGAUGUAGAGAGAACAUAUUCAAAAAAAAUAAUAUUUGCAGAUUUACCCCUCCCACAUGCUUUAAAACUCUUUCAAAUGCACUUUUUAAAGUAUUCCUUACAAUUCAUCUUAACAAAAAUCAUACUACCUUAGUGCUAACAUAUAGAGGGAAAUGCCAUAGACGAGCUAAUGGAAAUUAGCAUAGACAUUAUUCUAACCUUGAAACAACUGCUACUUGAACACGGCCGUAGCAGCAACGUACGUGAACAAAGCAUCCGACAAGAGUCACAGGUGAUUAUUCUUACAGGAAUGUUGAGGCACAGCGUGGCACCAGGCCGAGGGCGUGCGUCUUUCAAUUCGGACUUGCUUUUUCUUUGGCUUUUGGCGAGCAGCCGCGGUUAAGUUUUCUGCCACACUCUUACUUCGAGCAAACUCUGUCACUCGUUUUGCUCACAGGAAUAUAUUCUUUAUCCCCUGCAUUUCUAACCGUCUUCUUCGCGUGUGUAUACAUACACAGUACAUAUGGAUCUAUUAUCCUGCCCCCUGGUGGCCAAGACGCACACAUCACAGAGAAUUGCGCAAUGUUGAGAUUUUGGUUUCCAUUUUUUCUUGUUUGUUUGUUUUGCUUAUUCCAAAAGAAGGGCGGUGCACUUCUUCUUACACUUGUACUUGGCUUUAAACGUUGACUUUACAGUUUAUACAAGCUUUGAGAAAGCCACUCUUAAGCAGAAUAUGUAUUUAUUUUCUGUGAGUUCCUUUGUUGUUGUGGUUUUGAGCUUUAGUAACAUGUUGCUUGUUGUGAGUGCUUUCGUGUGUGUGUGUGUGCGCCCUGCAGGAAUUUUUGUGAGGGGGGCCACAAGUAGCAACACCAAAAUCAGCACCACACCGGAAAUCGUACGCGCACGUACACGCGCACACACACUAAAGCCCUCCUUGCUCUCGGCUCCUUAUUCUACUUUAUUCUACUUUAUUAUUUUAUUAUUAUUAUUAUUUGAACGUACAAUCCUGCGCUUUUUGCUUUGCCGUUAAAUGUGCUAAAUGCGAAUAAGUAAUUCAUAUUGUGACUUAAGUUUAAAUUUGGACAUCUAUUUAUGCCUUCACUAAUGUACAUUUUGUUACUUUAGCUGGAUUUUUUGUGUGUGCUCAAGGGUCACAUUUUUUUUAUUUUUUUUUUAUAAAAGAAAAAAAUAAGUUUAUUUUGAUUAAAAAAAAGUCAUUCUCAUUUACUGGCAUCAUUGAUAAUGUAAUUAUUCACAAAACAAUUAUUAGCGAAAAUACAUUUCAAAUGUAAAAUACAAAACUGUUUAUUUUACUAAGAUUGUUUUUUUGUUUUGUUUUUAGUAUUACUGAAGAUAAAUCAUUCACAAAUCAAGUUAAUCAAUAAUGAAUACAUGCAUUUUAAUUAACUAUUUUUAUGGCACACACACACACACAAACUUGAUGCAAGGACCGUUGAAAAUGUAAAAUGCUCCAGUGGGACGGAUUUAAAAUAAUAAUUUGUAAAUAAAAAAUGAGUGGGCUGUGUGUGGCCCAUGGACCAUACUUUGCCCAUCCCUGACAUAAAUCUUGAAAAAAAAAAAAAAAAAAAAAAGUAUUGACCAAAACGUUUUCCUGAACGAAUUUAAAGUGACAUUUCUUUUUGCACAUAAAAACCGCGGCUCAACAUGACUUUUUCAUCCCUUGUGUGGCCGUCACUCGUUCAUUUUCCACUUCAAAGUAAUUUAAGAGGGGAAACAAAAACCCACGGAGUCCCGCGAGGGUCGUCACGUGCUUGUUUGCUUGCCUUUUAUGAGCAAAACGUUUCAAAUUCAAAGGAAAGUUGCUUACAAAUGGCGCUGUCGUCCACCUGCAGCAAAGCGAAUCUACUGUGUUGAUGAAGGCGCUCCAGGCCCAGAUGGACGAGCGCCGACAUUCCCGUCGCGUCCACGAAGGCAACAUUUGCCCGUCCCGAUGGAGGUCCGACAUGCAAUAAUCCGCUCCGGUCGGCCGGGAUCGGGCUCGGGCCCGGACGGGGUCCCCUUAGGACCUGGGCGGCUUUCAUCUCAAUGUGAGUCAGGAGUUGAUUCAAACGUGGACUGAUGGGAGAAUUAACCCCCGGGACCCAGCUUUCAAUGGGCUCAGCCGAGAGAUUAUGUGUGUUGAUGGCAGCCUUUUAUAUGCGAGCACAACUUAGCCUCUGUCCACACCUACGACACCAUUAUUUGGAAAAACUUACUUUACUGGGCCACACCGGGAGCAGUUUCUUUUUUUUGUUUUUUUUUUUUUGUUCGACAAUUCAUGUAAAAACAUAUUUUCUGGCUGUCAAGUGCACGCCAGAGCAGCAGGUGGCGCUAAAACGUAUGACGCUGACCUGUACCUACCAAAUUUCCACUUGAGGACCAUUUUGGCUAUUUCCGGCGGUGUCAAAGAUAAAUUCCUUGUGGAGAUUUCGUCUGAUUGCUAUCAAAAUUGAGCCUCGUACAUGAGACAGACUGACAACGCUGAAUUGGGAAGAAGUUCAGGUUUUCUCAUUGAAGUGUCGUCGGCGCAUGUCGGCAAAGUUUCCCGACGGGCCACAAAAUACGAAACCGAUGACGUCGCAAAGUGAGGCAUUUUCUUUUUUCACGAAUAUUCUGUUGAAACUCGGCCCUCCUCCGACGCGAAGUGCGCUACGUGACAAAUGUGGCGGUCCUUGGCGCAAUCGCGAGGCAGACCUCUUUUUUUUUUUUUUACAAAAAUCCCGCUUGCAUCCUUUGGUUUCGGCGCGAGAGCCAAACCCCAAAUAAAAGGCACGCUCGGGCCAAAACCACAAAGUUGAAGUCCAACAUGGCCGCCAAGCCAAGGGAGGAAGAGGAAAGGAAGAACAACAGAAAUAGACCUGCGUGUUUGUCAUCAGUAAAUCAAUCAUUUCAAUCGAUUAACGCUCAAGUACGUAACCCGAGUGUUGUCUACGAGCAGCAGCUAGCAUCCAAAUAUUAGCGACGACAUCAGAGCAUUUUGUUUUGAAGCGGCCGUUUCGGUGUCAUUUUGGUCACAUCCCCUUCAAAAGCGAACCCGCUCCUAGAUUUUAGGAAAAUUCAGCGCCCGCAGUCAAUUUCGCUUAAGAAAAUGAGAUUUGUUAGACAUGUCAUUCAUGAGUCGAGCGAGAAAAAAAAAGUGCAGAAUGUCUGCCGUUUUGGUUUAUCGUCUUCACCGUUUGUCUUCAAAAGCCAACUUGUCGCUGGACUUCUUCCCAGGAUUCAGCCCCUGGAGCCACUUCCACUUAGGAAAAUGAUAUUUUGGAGACACGUUUGUCACGAGUAGACCCAGGAACAAGUCUCAAGAAGCCAUGCCCGGAAAGACAUUUUGAUUUGAAGCCUCCGAUUUGGAGUCGUCUCGGCCAUUUCCCGACAAUAGUGAACUUGUCCAUGGAUUUCUUUAGGAAAUUCAGUGGCCGGAGCCAAUCACAAUGAGAAAAAUCAUACUUGGUAGACAUGUUUGUCACGAGGAGACCCAGCAAAAAGUCUCGAGAAGCCACAGGAAGUCUGCCGUUUUGGUUUGAAGUGGCCAUUUUGGCCAUUUCCACCGCUAAUAGUACUUUUUCCCGGUCCUUCAGAGACGGACUUGCCCGAGAGAUUUGAUCCGACUGCUCCUAAAAUUUCAAUGACACAAUAUAUACGAGACAAAUGGGCAAUGCUAAAUUGUAAAUCGUUUGCAUUUUCAUCAUUACGUUUGGGUGGAGCAUGGCGGUUGAAUUUGCUGACUCGCCAUUGUUUAUUGUAGUUUUCGUUUUGUGUUAUUGUGACUGAAAGCGAGGCGCAAAUGGUGCAAAUUUGCCGUUUUCAAAUGAGUCAUCAAAGACAUAAGAAGUGUCUUGUGUGCGGUACACAUGUUUGUGUGAGAGAGGUCUUUGUUUCGGGGGGGGGGGGGGGGGGUUGUCUGCGUCUGUGUUUGAUUUUGACCCGAUUGAAACCCAAAACUCGGGAAAAGCUGACAAAACACGACGUUCACCAGGUGGUUAAUGAGCGAGCAGAAAUGACCAGUUGACCAGCAUCGUAUUGACGAGCCCACUGUGAUGCGCCCCCCAAACUUCAGUCCGUCGCCCGGACCCCCAUCUGCAAGAUAUUACACACCCCACUCCAAGGGGGGGGGAAAAAAAAAAAACAGUGUUUGUUGAACAUGUGCAACAGACGGGUGGUCCCAUGAUAACGCCGUACGUCUUCAUGAUGUCUCCGAGUUGGAGACGCGACUGCACAUCCUUUCAAGCCUCGGUUUGGAUACAUUUAUCGUAUGAAAAAGUAUCAAUUGAAAUACUCGUAUCAUUUAGAAAACAUAAAUCUUCACACUUGUUUAAAAAUAUGAAAGAAGUAAAAAAAUAUAAAACCAGAAAUAUUUUUUCAAAAGUUACAACACGCCUUAAUUUCAAUACAAUCAUACAUUAAAAAAAUUUUUUUAAAUGUUAUAAAAAAAUAAUAAAUCAAUUACAAAUAUAUACAAUUCGUUAGAUAGAAAAUAUACAUAUUAAAUACAAAUGGUCUUCCUCUUUUCCUUUGGGCUUGUCCCUUUAGGGGUCGCCACAGCGCGUCAUCCUUUUCCAUGUCAGCCUAUCUCCUGCAUCCUCCUCUCCAACACCAACUGCCCUCAUGUCUUCCCUCACGACACCCAUCAACCUUCUCCUUGGUCUUCCUCUGGCUCUCUUGCCUGGCAGCUCCGUCCUCAUCAUCCUUCUACCAAUAUACUCCCAAUUUCUCCUCUGGACGUGUCCUAACCAUCCAAGUCUGCUCUCUCUCACUUAGUCUCCAAAACAUCGAAGCUCGGCUGUCCCUCUGAUGAGCUCAUUUCUAAUUUUAUCCAACCUGGUCACUCCGAGAGCGAACCUCAACAUCUUCAUUUCCGCCACCUUCAGCUCGGCUUCCUGUUGUCACUGCAAACGGGAAGGGGCUCAGGGCUGAUCCCUGAUGCAGUCCCACCUCCACCUUAAAUUCCUCCACUUUUCCAUCAACAUCCUCAAGGCAAAUAAUGCAUCUGUGGUACUCUUUCUAGUCAUGAAACCAUACUGCUGCUCGCAAAUACUCACUUCUGUCCUGAGUCUAGCCUCCACUACUCUUUCCCAUAACUUCAUUGUGUGGCUCAUCAACUUUAUUCCUCUAUAGUUGCCACAACUCUGCACAUCACCCUUGUUCUUAAAAAUGGGCACCAACACACUUUUCCUCCAUCCUCAGGCAUCUUCUCACACGCUAGAAUUCUAUUGAACAAGCUGGUGAAAAACUCCACAGCCACCUCUCCUAGAUGCUUCCAUACCUCCACAGGAAUGUCAUCAGGACCCACUACCUUUCCAUUUGUCAUCCUCUUUAAUGCCUUUCUAACUCCACCCUUACUAAUCAUUGCCACUUCCUGGUCCACCACACUUGCAUCUUCUACUCUCCCUUCCUUCUCAUUUUCCUCAUUCAUCAACUCCUCGAAGUAUUCUUUCCAUCUAUCUAGCGCACUACUGGCACCAGCCAACACAUUUCCAUCUCUAUCCUUAAUCACCCUAACCUGCUGCACAUCCUUCCCAUCUCCAUCCCUCUGUCUGGUCACCCUGUAUAGAUCCUUUUCUCCUUCUUUAGUGUCCAACCUGGCAGACCAGUCAUCAAAUGCCUCUUGUUUGGCCUUUGCCACCUCUACCUUUGCCCUAUGUCGCAUCUCAAUGUAUUCCUUUCGCCUCUCCUCGGUCCUCUCGGUGUCCCACUUCUUCUUCGCUAACCUUUUUCCUUGUAUGCUUUCUUGAACUGCAAGGUUCCACCACCAAGUCUCCUUCUCUCCUUUCCUGCCAGAAGAUACACCAAGUAUCCUGCCUGCCUCUCUGAUCACCUUGGCUGCAGUGGUCCAGUCUUCUGGAAGCUCCUCCCGUCCACAGAGAGCCUGUCUCACCUCUUCCCGAAAAGCUGCACAACACUCGUCCUGUCUCAGCUUCCACCACAUGAUUCUCUGCCUUUGUCUUCUUAAUCUUCCUCCCCACCACCAGUCAUCUUACACUCUCCCCUACCACUACCUUACAGUCGGUAACCUCCUUCAGAUGACAUCGUCUGCACAAGAUGUAAUCCACCUGCGUGCUUCUAUCUCCACUCUUGUAGGUCACCCUAUGUUCCUGCCUCUUCUGGAAAAAAGUGUUCACUACAGCCAUUUGCAUCCUUGUUGCAAAGUCUACCACCAUCUGUCCCUCCAAGUUCCUUUCCUGGAUGCCGGGACUUACCCAUCACUUCUUCAUCACCCCUAUUUCCUUCACCAACAUGUCCAUUACAAUCUGCACCAAUCACGACUCUCUCUCUGUCCGGGAUGCUCAGAACUACUUCGUCUAGCUCCUUCCAGAAUUUCUCUUUGACCUCUAGGUCACACCCUACCUGUGGGGCAUAGCCACGAAUCACAUUACACAUAACACCCUCAAUUUCAAGUUUCAGCCUCAUCACUCGAUCUGAUACUCUUUUCACCUCCAAGACAUUCUUAGCCAACUCUUCUUUUAAAAUAACCCCGAAUCCAUUUCUCUUCCCAUCUACACAUUAGGUCAAAUAAUUUCAACCCUGCCCCUAAACUUCGAGCCUUACUGCCUUUCCACCUGGUCUCCUGGACACACAAUAUAUCAACCUUUCUCCUCAUCAUCAUGUCAACCAACUCCCAAGAUUUUCCUGUCAUAGUCCCAACAUUCAAAGUCCCCACAUUCAGUUCUAGGCUCUGUGCUUUCCUCUUCUCUUUCUGCCGAAGAACCCGCUUUCCACCUCUUCUUCUUUGACUUCAACCCACAGCAGCUGAAUUUCAACAACAAAUACUGUAUACAAUUUCAUUGAAACAAAAUAGUACAGUAAUACCAAAAUAACAAUAAAAAUAUUUAAAAAUUGAAUUUGAA